UGUUUCAGCCAAGAACCCAAAGUGAUACUGUUGUAAUGAACCUAUUUAUUAAUAACUGGAAAGGAGCAAAGGGAAAACCAAAUAUUA